AUUGAACGCUGGCGGCAGGCCUAACACAUGCAAGUCGAGCGGCGCUUCGGACGGGUGAGUAAUGCCUAGGAAUCUGCCCGUUAGUGGGGGAUAACGUCCGGGAACGGGCCCUAAUGCCACAUACUUUCAGAUCACUCUAGGUUGGAUUAGCUAGGUGGUGGGGUAAAGGCUUACCAAGUCGACGAUCCGUAACUGGUCUGAGAGGAUGAUCAGUCACACUGGAACUGAGACACGGUCCAGACUCCUACGGGAGGCAGCAGUGGGGAAUAUUGGACAAUGGGCGAAAGCCUGAUCCAGCCAUGCCGCGUGAGUGAAGAAGGUCUUCGGAUUGUAAAGCACUUUAAGUAGGGAGGCGUUACCAACAGAAUAAGCACCGGCUAACUACGUGCCAGCAGCCGCGGUAAUUC
rnacentral:rRNA from 1 species